rnacentral:rRNA from 1 species
ACUACGGGAGGCAGCAGUGAGGAAUAUUGGUCAAUGGGCGCGAGCCUGAACCAGCCAAGUAGCGUGAAGGUUGACUGCCCUACGGGUUGUAAACUUCUUUUAUAAAGGAAUAAAGUGAGGCACGUGUGCCUUUUUGUAUGUACUUUAUGAAUAAGGAUCGGCUAACUCCGUGCCAGCAGCCGCGGUAAUACGGAGGAUCCGAGCGUUAUCCGGUUUUAUUGGGUUUAAAGGGAGCGUAGAUGGGUUGUUAAGUCAGUUGUGGAAGUUUGCGGCGCAACCGUAAAAUUGCAAUUGAUACUGGCAGUCUUGAGUGCAGAUGAGGUAGGCGGAAUUCGUGGUGUAGCGGUGAAAUGCUUAGAUAUCACGAAGAACUCCGAUUGCGAAGGCAGCUUACUAAUCUGCCACUGACAUUGAUGCUCGAAAGUGUGGGUAUCAAACAGGAUUAGAUACCCCAGUAGUC